CUAAUAUUAAGUUAACUCCCGCACAUCUCCAGCCUUUAUCAAUGAAUGAUGGAUGGCCUUUGGUAACCUAAACAUUCCAUCUCUGCCAUAUAUAUGAAGGAUGAUGUGGAAAGAAAUCCGAAAUUGUUUCGGAUGAUCUCAGAACAAGUACUCUUUAGUAAAAAAAAAAAUGACUUUCUUCAUUAAGCUGUCAUGGGUCUAAAAAACGAUUUAAAACUGAUUUAAUCAAUCAGUAUCUGUCGCUCGGAUAAUUGGAAAUCUCCUGACAAAGAAAAAACAAAUUGAAGAUUGUGCAACAUCUUAGAAAAAUCGAUUCGACUCGACAAGUCAACUUCUUUUCUCGAUGUUUCUUCGUAAUGCGAAAUUAUUAGCAUCAUUCAAUCCCAGCAAAUACAGAUAUACAACAAUAACGUAUUAUACAACAGUAGCGAGAUGCUUGUGGCUAUCUUUACGCAAGACUUCGAGAUGAACCUACAGUUUCACAUUUCAGCAACGGCUGAAUCGAUUAAGUUAUAACAGUAAUGGAAUUGUCAUAUAAUUUUGAUUAGUCGAGAUCUGUUGAAAAGUUUAACAUUAUUUUUGAUAGCGAUAGUAAACAUAAAACGUAAAUGUAUGUUAAAAAGAUUUAAUCUCUUAUAUCAUUAGUUUUUUUAAAUGCUUUACAUUUGUAAUCUAGUUUUUACAACUAAGGUUUAAAUAACUUUUUUGGAGAUAACUUUAUGAUAAAUUAUCAAAGAUAACAAAUAU